AUUGAACGCUGGCGGCAGGCCUAACACAUGCAAGUCGAACGAGUGGCGGAAGGGUGAGUAAUGUCUGGGCAACUGCCUGAUGGAUGGGGAUAGCUACUGGAAACUGUAGCUAAUACCGCAUAACAUAGGAUGUGCCCAGAUGGGAUUAUCUAGUAGGUGGGGUAAAGGAUGACCUAGGCGACGAUCCCUAGCUGGUCUGAGAGGAUGACCAGCCACACUGGAACUGAGACACGGUCCAGACUCCUACGGGAGGCAGCAGUGGGGAAUAUUGCACAAUGGGCGCAAGCCUGAUGCAGCCAUGCCGCGUGUAUGAAGAAGGCCUUCGGGUUGUAAAGUACUUUCAGCGGGGAGGCGUUACCCGCAGAAGAAGCACCGGCUAACUCCGUGCCAGCAGCCGCGGUAAUUC
rnacentral:rRNA from 1 species